rnacentral:SRP_RNA from 1 species
GCCAGGUGCAGUGGCGUUUGCCUGUGGUCCCAGCUUCUUGGGAGGCUGAGGCAGGAGGAUCACUUGAGCCCAAGAGUUCUAGGCUGUAGUACACUAUGUUGAUCAUGUGUUUGCACUAAGUUCAGCAUCAAUAUGGUGAUCCCCCCAGGAGUGGGGGAUCACCAGGUUGCCUAACUAGGGGUGAACCAGCCCUGGUCAGAAACAGAGCAGGUAAAAACUCCCAUGCUGAUCAGUAGUAGGAUUGCACCUGUGAACACCUACUGCAUUCCAGCCUGGGCAACACAGUAAGACCUUGUCUCC